CGUCUUUAAGCAUGGUCGACACUGUUUAUGAGUGACAAGGAAGUGAUAUUCUAUGUGGAAUUACAAUCAUGGGAACGAGGUUUAAUAACUAAAGUUCUUCCAGAUCCUGUCUGGUCCAGGAAACUGUGACUUACUCUGAGUUGAGGAACAAUCCACCGAACAUCAGAAGCGGGAAACCAAUUACUUACAAAGAGUUUAGGAAAUAUCCACCGAACAUCAGAAGCGGGAAACCAAUUACUUACUCAGAGUUGAGGAAAAAUCCACCGAACAUCAGCAGCGGGAUCAUCAGCGGCGGAGCGAUAGCCAGGGCUGUUCCAACAUGGUUUACCGCAGCUGACACGAUGUAGCCUGCAACGGAAAUUACGUCAUUAAAACACCUGAGCUUUUUAUAUACAAAUAGAUGCUAUACAAGUUUAUAAACAUUGCUGUGAUCCGUUGUAUUGGUUGUUAAGGAAAAUGUAAACCGUUGGUU